rnacentral:rRNA from 1 species
UGGGGAAUCUUGCGCAAUGCGCGAAAGCGUGACGCAGCAACGCCGCGUGGGGGAAGACGGCCUUCGGGUUGUAAACCCCUUUCAGGAGGGACGAAGGUUCGCCGGUGAAUAGCCGUGCGGAUUGACGGUACCUCCACAAGAAGCUCCGGCUAACUACGUGCCAGCAGCCGCGGUAAUACGUAGGGAGCAAGCGUUGUCCGGAAUCAUUGGGCGUAAAGCGCGCGUAGGUGGCUUCGUAAGUCCGUUGUGAAAGUCAAAGGCUCAACCUUUGAAUGCCGAUGGAUACUGCGGAGCUAGAGUACGGAAGAGGCGAGUGGAAUUCCUGGUGUAGCGGUGGAAUGCGCAGAUAUCAGGAGGAACACCAAUAGCGAAGGCAGCUCGCUGGGACGUUACUGACACUAAGGCGCGAAAGCGUGGGGAGCGAACAGGAUUAGAUACCCCGGUAGUCC